rnacentral:rRNA from 1 species
UACGAAGGGGGCUAGCGUUAAUCGGAAUUACUGGGCGUAAAGAGCGCGCAGGCGGUCGUUCAAGUCGAGUGUGAAAGCCCCCGGCUCAACUGGGGAGGGUCAUUCGAUACUGAUCGACUCGAAGGCAGGAGAGGGAAGUGGAAUUCCCGGUGUAGUGGUGAAAUGCGUAGAUAUCGGGAGGAACACCAGUGGCGAAGGCGACUUCCUGGCCUGUUCUUGACGCUGAGGCGCGAAAGCUAGGGGAGCAAACGGG